rnacentral:rRNA from 1 species
UACGUAGGUGGCAAGCGUUAUCCGGAAUUAUUGGGCGUAAAGGGUGCGCAGGCGGCUUCGCAAGUCAGGCGUGAAAUCCCCGAGCUUAACUUGGGAAUUGCGUUUGAAACUACGAAGCUGGAGUGUGGCAGAGGGAGGUGGAAUUCCACGUGUAGCGGUGAAAUGCGUAGAUAUGUGGAGGAACACCGAUGGCGAAGGCAGCCUCCUGGGCCAACACUGACGCUCAUGCACGAAAGCGUGGGGAGCAAACAGG